UCCUAAAACCCUCUCUUUGCGUUUGGCCAUUCCCAUUUGAAAUCCUAGAACCCCAGAAAUUUUCAACCUUUUCCAAUCUCGUUCAAACUUCUUAUGGAUUACUCUUCUGCGACUCUCCAGGCCUCUUGCUCUUUCCCGGUUAGAACCCCUACUGUCGCUGUCAGAGCCAUUAGAAACUCAGCUCGAAUUACCUUUUGUUGUUCCUCUUCUCGACUUGAAGCUUUGGCAAAGCUUGGGAACACGUGCUCGACGCAAGGGAAGAAUUCGAGCUCAAAGAAUAGUAAGCAUUACAGAGCCACCACGGAUUCAACGUCUCACUAUCGGAACCCAAGCACUAUCUCCAGCUGCCAAGAAAUCCCAGAUGCCGAUUUUUGUGAUGGCCAGUCGGUGAGCCAGUGCCUCGUUCCUGACCGGCUCGCGCUUUGGCUUCGGUCGAGUCGUAGUUUAAAAGAGGUCAGAAGUAUACAUGCGGUGGUUGUGAAAUGUUUUCGGGAGUCUGUCACCUACAUGGGUAAUAAUUUGAUAAGUACUUAUCUGAGGUUUGGGGAGGUAGUUGAGGCUCGUAAGGUGUUUGAUAAAUUGCCGAACAGGAAUGUGGUUACUUGGACUGCUCUCAUUAAUGGGUAUUUAAACGUUGGUUUGGAUGAUGAGGCUUUGAGGUUGUUUAAUGAUUCUAUUGAAAAUGGGAUCCGAGCAAAUGAAAAGAUGUUUGUGUGUGUUUUGAAUAUGUGCAGUAGGAGGUCGGAUUUUGAGCUUGGUAGUCAAUUUCAUGCCUGUAUUGUGAAAGGUGGUUCGAGGAACUUGAUUGUGGAUAGUUCCAUCAUUCAUUUCUAUGCGCAAUGUAGGAAACUGCCAAGUGCAUUUCGUGCAUUUGAUCGGAUGCAAGAGCAGGAUGUGGUUUGUUGGACAACUAUGAUUACGGCUUGUGCACAACAAGGACAUGGACAGGAGGCCAUUUCACUGUUCUCACAAAUGUUAAGUAAUGGAUCUUCCCCUAAUGAAUUUACAGUAUGUGGUGUUCUGAAGGCUUGUGGAGAGGAAAAGGCAUUCAAAUUUGGGAGGCAGUUACAUGGUACCAUAGUGAAGAAAAUGUUUAGGAAUGAUGUUUUUGUAGGGACUUCCCUCGUUGAUAUGUAUGCAAAAUGUGGGGAGAUGCUAGAUUCUAAAAAGGUCUUUAAUCGAAUGAGGUAUAGAAACAUGGUUACUUGGACAUCAUUUAUAGCUGGAUAUGCCCGAAAGGGACUUGGUGAGGAGGCCAUAAGACUCUUCAGAGUGAUGAAGAGACGAAAAAUAAAUGCUAACAACUGGACAAUUGUUAGCGUCCUCAGGGCUUGUGGUUCAAUUGAGGCUACACUAUUGGGAAGGGAACUUCAUGCACAAAUAAUCAAGAAAUCCAUCAGGACCAAUAUAUACAUAGCAAGCACUCUAGUAUGGUUUUACUGUAAAUGUGCAGAGUAUAAUCAUGCCUUCAAGGUCCUCCAGCAGAUGCCCCGUAGAGAUGUUGUAUCAUGGACUGCCAUUAUUUCAGGUGGUGCACGACUUGGGCAUGAGUCUGAGGCUCUUGAGUUAUUGGGAGAAAUGAUGGAGGAAGGUGUUGAUCCCAACUCUUUUACUUAUUCAUCAGCUUUGAAAGCGUGUGCUAAUCUGGAAACUGUCCGUCUAGGGAAAUUGAUUCAUUCUUGUGCAAACAAGACUCCUUCCUUGUCUAAUGUGUUUGUGGGUAGUGCAUUAAUCAAUAUGUAUGCAAAGUGCGGAUAUUUGUCAGAGGCAUCCCAAGUUUUUGACAGCAUGCCUGAUCGAAAUUUGGUGUCUUGGAAGGCUAUGAUUAUGGGUUAUGCAAAGAAUGGGCUCUGCCAAGAGGCUUUGAAGCUCAUGUAUCGGAUGAAAGCAGAGGGUAUUGUGGUGGAUGAUUACAUCAUUGCAACAGUCCUUGCUGCGUGUGGAGAUUUCAAGUGGGAUAUGGAGGCUUCAUCCGAAUAUUGCUUGCUGUCUACUUAAUCUUUUGCCCAGAUGGAUUCCAAUGGAUUCCAACUCUUUUACUUAUUCAUCAGCUUUGAAAGCGUGUGCUAAUCUGGAAACUGUCCGCCUAGGAAAAUUGAUUCAUUCUUGUGCAAACAAGACCCCGUCCUUGUCUAAUGCGUUUGUGGGUAGUGCAUUAAUCAAUAUGUAUGCAAAAUGCGGAUAUUUGUCAGAGGCAUCCCAAGUUUUUGACAGCAUGCCUGAUCGAAAUUUGGUUUCUUGGAAGGCUAUGAUUAUGGGUUAUGCAAAGAAUGGGCUCUGCCAAGAGGCUUUGAAGCUCAUGUAUCGGAUGAAAGCAUGUUUGAUCUAUGUACUGCAGGCAUCAGGUAUAUAUAUCAACUAAGAUACAGCGGGCGGAUUUAUACUGAGCUGCAGAUACAUCAUAAAUUGGUCUGCAGGAUUAGUGGUAAAAGAUAAACAGUGAAUCAAUGUAUCACAAGAAGUACUGUGAAUGAGGGACCAUCCCGAACUCCCGCUCUGCACCCUGUCAUCGCUCAUGUACAUGUUGAUAUAAACUAGGAAAGGUCGAAAGAAAAAGGGUGCAGAGAGUUCCAAUUCACUUCAUAAAUCCAUUUCUCGAGAACGAUGUAAUGUUACUCCUCCAUGAAUGUUGAGCAUCAUAGCUCGCAUCAGUAAGAGGGCAUUACUGUAGACAUGUUCAGGUACAUCAUGCACUCAGAGGAUGUUACAAGACAAAUGGGAAAUUAUAAUUGCAAGCUGCCAAGCUGGUGUGGAGACACACUUUUCACACUAUUGAGAUGAUAUGAUUUGAUUUGUCAGAUGAUUUAAUUUUAAAAUUUUCUUAUAAAUCAAAUCUUAUCGGAAGUGUGCGGACGUGUUCUCCAAUGAGUAGAACAGUUUGGAACAAAAGGCCACUUGUAAUGUUUUCUCUCGUGUUGGGGUUGUUGAAGUUCAUUUCUACAAUAUCGCACUAUAUGAGAAAUGUGAUCUCAACUUGGAAAUACACGAUCAACUUGUAGAACUUACUAUUUAUUUGUUGAUUGUAGCUUCAAUAUGAGUAUAUAAAUCAAGUUGUUUGCAACAAA